GGCUACUGCUAUUGGGAUUCGACUAAGCCAUGCGAGUCAAGGUGUCUUCGGACGCCGGCGUACGGCUCAGUAACACGUAGGUAACCUACCCUCAGGACUGAGAUAACCCCGGGAAACUGGGGCUAAUAUUAGAUAGAUAAAAGAUACUGGAAUGUUCUUUUAUCCAAAGCUUUUGCGCCUGAGGAUGGGCCUGCGUCCGAUUAGGUUGUUGGUGGGGUAAUGGCCCACCAAGCCUACGAUCGGUACGGGCAGUGAGAGCUGAAGCCCGGAGUUGGGGACUGAGACAAGGCCCCAGGCCCUACGGGGCGCAGCAGGCGCGAAACCUCUGCAAUGCGGGAAACCGUGACAGGGGGAUCCCAAGUGCUCAUGCAUUGCAUGGGCUGUUCUUUGGUCUAAGUAACCAGAGGAGUAAGGGCUGGGCAAGACCGGUGCCAGCCGCCGCGGUAAUACCGGCAGCUCAAGUGGUAGCCGCGAUUAUUGGGCCUAAAGCGUUCGUAGCCGGAUAAGUAAGUCUUUGGUUAAAUCCUGCGACUUAACCGUGGGAAAUCUAGAGAUACUGCUUGUCUUGAGACCAGGAGAGGUUGGAGGUACUCCCAGGGUAGGGGUGAAAUCCUGUAAUCCUGGGGGGACCACCUGUGGCGAAGGCGUCCAACUGGAACGGGUCUGACGGUGAGGGACGAAACCUAGGGGAGCGAGCCGGAUUAGAUACCCGGGUAGUCCUAGGCGUAAAUGAUGCGAGUUAAGUGUGGGGGCAUCCACGAGAUGGCCCUGUGCUGUAGGGUAGCCGUUAAACUCGCCGCCUGGGGAGUACGGUCGCAAGGCUGAAACUUAA
rnacentral:rRNA from 1 species